CCAGUAGCUCAGUCGGAUAGAGCAACGGCCUUCUAAGCCGUAGGUCGGGGGUUCGAAUCCCUCCUGGU
rnacentral:tRNA from 1 species